CAAAUAUAGAGAAAUUCUAUACAUCAAUUAUUAAUUUUUAAAAAAGCAGUGAACAAUUAUUUGAAAUGUUUCUGUGAGUAACUAAAGACUCUUUGCCCUUGGUGACUAGAAUAUUUACUCAUUUUAAUUUUCUUCUCAGAUGAUUUCAUUUUAACAGAUUUUUUUUCCUGCUUCUUGUCUAAGAUCUGCUUAUCCUUUGCUUUGAGAACAAUGUCUAGACAGAGUCCUGCAUUAAAAUUCAGUUAUUCGCUGAGCAUCUAGCAAGUACACUAAGUGUGAUGUUGACCAUGUGGGCACCUUGGGUGCUGACAAAUCAUUCUGCUUCGGGUUAGAGCAAAUACGUCUGUACUCAGUGGAGAAGAGAGAAGAGCGGAUAUGCUGCAGAGUGCUGGAGGGAUCAUUGCACUCACUGCUUUGGACUGUGUGUAAAUUUGUUAAUAUCAUUAUUAUUUAUAAUAAUAUGCCCUAAUGCCACACACUGCUUCAUCAUUGACCCAGUGGCUUAAUUUCUGUUGGAAUGGCAGGAAAUCUUAGUCUCAAAAUAUCAAAUCACUUAAAAAUGUGAUUUAAAGAUUUUAUUCACUUCCCUGGGGAAACAAGCAAAACCCAAG
rnacentral:lncRNA from 1 species